GGUCAGUGUUAGGUCAGUGUUAGGUCAGUGUAGAUCAGUGUUAAGUCAGUGUAGAUCAGUGUUAGGUCAGUGUAGGUCAGUGUUAGGUCAGUGUAGAUCAGUGUUAGGUCAGUGUAGGUCAGUGUUAGGUCAGUGUUAGGUCAGUGUAGAUCAGUGUUAGAUCAGUGUUCGGUCCGUGUAGAUCAGUGUUAGGUCAGUGUAGAUCAGUGAUAGAUCAGUGUUAGGUCAGUGUAGAUCAGUGUUAGGUCAGUGUAGAGCAGUGUUAGGUCAGUGUAGAUCAGUGUUAGGUCAGUGUAGAUCAGUGUAGAUCAGUGUUAGAUCAGUGUAGAUCAGUGUUAGGUCAGUGUUAGGUCAGUGUAGAUCAGUGUUAGAUCAGUGUUCGGUCCGUGUAGAUCAGUGUAGAUCAGUGUUAGGUCAGUGUAGAUCAGUGUUAGGUCAGUGUAGAUCAGUGUUAGGUCAGUGUAGGUCAGUGUUAGGUCAGUGUAGAUCAGUGUUAGAUCAGUGUAGGUCAGUGUUAGGUCAGUGUUAGGUCAGUGUAGAUCAGUGUUAGAUCAGUGUAGAUCAGUGUAGAUCAGUGUUGGGUCAGUAUAGAUCAGUGUUAGGUCAGUGUAGAUCAGUGUUAGGUCAGUGUAGAUCAGUGUUAGGUCAGUGUAGAUCAGUGAUAGAUCAGUGUUAGGUCAGUGUAGAUCAGUGUUAGGUCAGUGUAGAUCAGUGUUAGGUCAGUGUUAGAUCAGUGUUAGGUCAGUGUAGAUCAGUGUUAGGUCAGUGUAGAUCAGUGUUAGGUCAGUGUAGAUCAGUGUAGAUCAGUGUUAGGUCAGUGUAGAUCAGUGUUAGGUCAGUGUAGAUCAGUGUUAGGUCAGUGUAGAUCAGUGUAGAUCAGUGUUAGGUCAGUGUAGAUCAGUGAUAUAUCAGUGUUAGGUCAGUGUAGAUCAGUGAUAGAUCAGUGAUAGAUCAGUGUUAGGUCAGUGUAGAUCAGUGUUAGGUCAGUGUAGAUCAGUGAUAGAUCAGUGUUAGGUCAGUGUAGAUCAGUGUUAGAUCAGUGUUAGGUCAGUGUAGAUCAGUGUUAGGUCAGUGUAGAUCAGUGUUAGGUCAGUGUAGAUCAGUGUAGAUCAGUGUUAGGUCAGUGUAGAUCAGUGUUAGGUCAGUGUAGGUCAGUGUUAGGUCAGUGUAGGUCAGUGUUAGGUCAGUAUAGAUCAGUGUUAGAUCAGUGUUGGGUCAGUGUAGAUCAGUGUUAGGUCAGUAUAGAUCAGUGUUAGAUCAGUGUUAGGUCAGUGUAGAUCAGUGUAGAUCAGUGUUAGAUCAGUGUUCGGUCCGUGUAGAUCAGUGUUAGGUCAGUGUAGAUCAGUGUUAGGUCAGUGUAGAUCAGUGUUAGGUCAGUGUAGAUCAGUGUAGAUCAGUGUUAGGUCAGUGUAGAUCAGUGUAGAUCAGUCUUAAGUCAGUGUAGAUCAGUGUAGAUCAGUGUAGAUCAGUGUAGAUCAGUGAUAGAUCAGUGUUAGGUCAGUGUAGAUCAGUGUUAGGUCAGUGUAGAUCAGUGUUAGGUCAGUGUAGAUCAGUGUUAGGUCAGUGUAGAUCAGUGUAGAUCAGUGUUAAGUCAGUGUAGAUCAGUGUUAAGUCAGUGUAGAUCAGUGUUAGGUCAGUGUAGAUCAGUGUUAGGUCAGUGUAGAUCAUUGUAGAUCAGUGUUAGGUCAGUGUAGAUCAGUGUAGAUCAGUGUUAAGUCAGUGUAGAUCAGUGUUAGGUCAGUGUAGAUCAGUGUAGAUCAGUGUUAGGUCAGUGUAGAUCAGUGUUAAGUCAGUGUAGAUCAGUGUUAGGUCAGUGUAGAUCAGUGUUAGGUCAGUGUAGAUCAGUGUAGAUCAGUGUUAAGUCAGUGUAGAUCAGUGUUAGGUCAGUGUAGAUCAGUGUUAGGUCAGUGUAGAUCAGUGUAGAUCAGUGUUAAGUCAGUGUAGAUCAGUGUAGAUCAGUGUUAGGUCAGUGUAGAUCAGUGUAGAUCAGUGUAGAUCAGUGUAGAUCAGUGUUAAGUCAGUGUAGAUCAGUGUAGAUCAGUGUUAGGUCAGUGUAGAUCAGUGUAGAUCAGUGUUAGGUCAGUGUAGAUCAGUGUAGAUCAGUGUUAGGUCAGUGUAGAUCAGUGUAGAUCAGUGUAGAUCAGUGUAGAUCAGUGUUAGGUCAGUGUAGAUCAGUGUUAGGUCAGUGUAGAUCAGUGUUAGGUCAGUGUAGAUCAGUGUAGAUCAGUGUUAGGUCAGUGUAGAUCAGUGUUAGGUCAGUGUAGAUCAGUGUUAGGUCAGUGUAGAUCAGUGUAGAUCAGUGUUAGGUCAGUGUAGAUCAGUGUAGAUCAGUGUUAGGUCAGUGUAGAUCAGUGUUAAGUCAGUGUAGAUCAGUGUAGAUCAGUGUUAGGUCAGUGUAGAUCAGUGUAGAUCAGUGUUAGGUCAGUGUAGAUCAGUGUUAAGUCAGUGUAGAUCAGUGUUAAGUCAGUGUAGAUCAGUGUAGAUCAGUGUAGAUCAGUGUUAGGUCAGUGUAGAUCAGUGUUAAGUCAGUGUAGAUCAGUGUUAGGUCAGUGUAGAUCAGUGUAGAUCAGUGUUAGGUCAGUGUAGAUCAGUGUUAAGUCAGUGUAGAUCAGUGUUAAGUCAGUGUAGAUCAGUGUAGAUCAGUGUAGAUCAGUGUUAGGUCAGUGUAGAUCAGUGUUAAGUCAGUGUAGAUCAGUGUUAAGUCAGUGUAGAUCAGUGUAGAUCAGUGUAGAUCAGUGUUAGGUCAGUGUAGAUCAGUGUUAAGUCAGUGUAGAUCAGUGUUAAGUCAGUGUAGAUCAGUGUAGAUCAGUGUUAGGUCAGUGUAGAUCAGUGUAGAUCAGUGUUAGGUCAGUGUAGAUCAGUGUUAAGUCAGUGUAGAUCAGUGUAGAUCAGUGUUAGGUCAGUGUAGAUCAGUGUAGAUCAGUGUUAGGUCAGUGUAGAUCAGUGUUAAGUCAGUGUAGAUCAGUGUAGAUCAGUGUAGAUCAGUGUUAGGUCAGUGUAGAUCAGUGUUAAGUCAGUGUAGAUCAGUGUUAAGUCAGUGUAGAUCAGUGUUAGGUCAGUGUAGAUCAGUGUAGAUCAGUGUUAGGUCAGUGUAGGUCAGUGUAGAUCAGUGUUAAGUCAGUGUAGAUCAGUGUUAGGUCAGUGUAGAUCAGUGUUAGGUCAGUGUAGAUCAGUGUAGAUCAGUGUUAGGUCAGUGUAGAUCAGUGUUAGGUCAGUGUAGAUCAGUGUAGAUCAGUGUAGAUCAUUGGCUUUAUUGGAAACCCCUGCUCUGUGCUUCUUGGAGUCUUUGGAAGAUUAGGGUUUUACCUGGAGGAUCAGUUGUUGGAAGCACUUUAGUCACAGAAAUAAGCAGAGCCCUGUUCUUAUCCAGUGCUAAACAAGUUCAGGAGCUGCUCAUUUGACAUUCAUGAGUAUUUGAGCGAGGUCAUUAUGUAAAAUGCUCUGGAUGAGUGGUGUUUAGAGUGUGGGGGCUGCCUGGGUUUCAGUGGGAUAUGAAGAAUGGUUCUUUUUUUUUUUUU